ACCUAUACAGACACCAUUGUGUCACCAGAACACAAGUGAGAUGUUUGGUUUCAGAAGCUAAGAAGGAUUUAGCCUGGUUAGUACAUGGAUGGGGGACCACUGGGGAAUACCAAUGCUCUCCAGGUA
rnacentral:rRNA from 1 species